rnacentral:rRNA from 1 species
GAUGAACGCUAGCGGCAGGCUUAAUACAUGCAAGUCGAGGGGCAACAGGGGUAGCAAUACCUGCUGGCGACCGGCAAACGGGUGCGCAACACGUACAGAACCUUCCUUUAAGCGGGGGAUAGCCCAUAGAAAUAGUGGAUUAAUACCCACUGGUUAUUAUUGAUUGGCAUCAGUUAAUAAUUAAAGAUUUAUUCACUUAAAGAUGGCUGUGCGUCUGAUUAGGUUAGNGGUUAGGGGUAACGGGCCCACCAAGCCAACGAUCAGUAACUGGUGUGAGAGCACGACCAGUCACACGGGCGACUGAGACACGGGCCCGGACUCCUACGGGAGGCAGCAGUAAGGAAUAUUGGUCAAUGGACGGAAGUCUGAACCAGCCAUGCCG